GUGCUCACUUCAGCAGUACAUGUACUAAAAUUGGAACAACACAGAGAAGAUUAGCAUGGCCCUUGUGCAAGGAUGACAUGCAAAGUCGUGAAGAUUUCCAUAUUUUU
rnacentral:snRNA from 1 species